UCUGCUGUAAGUUUCAGUUUUUCCCAGAAACGUUCACUCCUUAACAACAGCACCCAGCUUCAACAAGCAGCAGUGAAACAGGAGCAGGAGUGCUUCCAAAGCAGAAAGACGAUGUUGUUGAUCCCCUCUGCAAUUUUGUGGCUCUUUGCGAAAUACUGCUGCUGCCAGUCUCCAUGUUUGAAAGAACCGCUUGAUGAGAAAGACUUUUCGAUCAGUGUGGCAGAGCGUAUUAAAGAGGAAUCUGGCAUGUGCAUUCUGAUCAAAUACAAUUUGACUGUUCGUGCAAACAAAGAUUUUAUCCCAUAUCAGAAAAUAUGGUUUGAAGGGACACCUUCAAACAUCAAAAGCAUGCAAUUUGUCAAGAAAUUUGAAUCUGAAACUAGCCACACUGACAAGAUAGAUAGUCAACCACCUGGAGAGUAUGAAUAUGGACUAAAACUGAAAUGGGGGUGUAACCAAACUUACAUUUUUCCCAACAGAGUGAAAAUCUCUGUGUCAGCAUUUACGUGGAAACCGGAGAUUUGGGUUAACCCUUUGAUCGAAGGAAAACGUGCCAAACUAGGCUGCCAUGCUCCUUCUUUAUGCUCAGGCAGAGCAAAUAUCCUGUGGAAGUGGCAAAAGAAUGAUGGACAGCUGAUUGACAUCGGAGGAGGGUAUUUAUCAUUUCUUAUGCGUCGUGACCAAACAGAGAUCACUCCAACUGCAGAGGAUCACAACAGCACCAUCACAUGUGUGGCAGAAUACCGUGAACAUGUCAUUAACAGCUCUGUCACCUUGAACGUUCAGUUUCCACCUAAAAUCCAGAGGGAUUCCUGGUGCCUGGUUGAAGGUAAACUCCUGGUCUGUGUGUGCACCAGUCGAGGGAAUCCGCUGCCUCCCAUCACCUGGCCCUUGGAGAACCUGACAGACUAUUCAGUCAGGAGCUUGAGCAGCAGCCAAACAGUAAACAGCACCUUCACCCUGCUCGCUGCUGAUUACCCCAACAACACCGUGAAAUGCAUCAGCAGCAACGAACUGGCAAAGGAAGAACUAGAAAUUCCAAUUGGAAUCCUCACAGACAGCUUCCGAAUGACUGUACUGCUUUUGCGCUGCUGACCUGUUACCACUGGGUGUGGUGUGAUACCGAACAACUGAAGUGAAAUACGGUCUGUGAAAAUGAUUGUAUUUGAUUUGCUGGAUGUUACUUCCAUAGAAAAUAGACUUGCGCUGGUGCUAUCUGCUCAUUUGGUAGCAACACCAAGAGAAAACGAUCCAGCAGCGGCUAAUGGACGAUUGGAACGCCAAUCGGUUUCAGCCGUAAUUUUCUGCUUGUAUUGUCGCUGUUGCUCAAGUCAACGAAGCUCCACAAAGCGGUAUCAGGUGGGGUGAUAUCGGAGCACUUUCAUGAGCGCCUGUGAACCGUGUCAGACCUACACCCAAUACCUGGAUCAGUACAUCCUCCGUGUUCCUGCUGAUAAACAAAACAUUUGAUGAAUUUCUAUAGAUUCGUUGGACUGCAGCCGGACGUUUGAUGCAGCGCUCCCCUGGAUAGCAGCUGUGUGUUUCUGCCUGAACGUGGUCCUCAUCACCACCCUGGUCGUCUACAUUUACAAACACAGGAAAAGCAAGAAGAGGAAAGACGACAAAACGACGGACAUCUAUGCUUCUCUGAGAAAGACGGAUGAUGACCAAGAGUACAGUGUCAUUUCUCCACAACACAGAUGAGAGACGCAGGACUUUCUUUUUCUUUUAAUUGAUGGAGACGGACAUGUUCAGAAUGUUUAGAAAUUUGUUUUAAUGUAAUUCACCCAGAUCAAUGACACUGACCAGUGUGAGUGGUUAUUAGUCAUGGAUCAGUAAGUCUUUGAUGGGGGGUCCUCAUGAUCUGAGCACACAAACAAAUGUUGGAGUUCUGGUGACCAAGUCAGCACUUUUGUUCUUCAAACCACUUCCAUGGAUGAGUGGUAGUAUGCUUUAUUAUGCCGAAAGAAAGUUAAUACACACCUGUCACUCCGUCAUCAUUUCACCUGCUGUCCUCUACGGUGCACUGAGCAGCGGAUGCUGGUAACAUCUUCACAGCAGUUCAUUUGGAAUGCUUCUAUUAUUAAACUAUUCCAGUGCUUCUGGCCAUGUGAUCAACAUUUCAACACCUUGGUUUCAAUAAAUAUUCAAUCACUUGCAGGCUUUUCCCACCAUUUAACAAAAUGAAAGUAUCAUGUUGCUCUAGCAUUAUCCUAUACGGACGAAAUGAACUUCAAUUAAAUAAAUACUACAAUUAUUAGAAUGAAAAUGAUACUACAGUGAUAACUGUUGAUAAUUCAUUGUGCUGUGGAACAGCUAUCUCCUUCUCCUUCUGACUCUUAGAUUUAACAUUAACCGAAACUGUUGAUUUAUUGGUUGCGAUCUUGCAAAACAGCUGUUUACUGGCUGAAUUAUCAUUAAAACGGUCGUCCUGACAGCAAAGUGGAAGAUGUUGGACUACAAUCACUAUGUAUCCACAUCACCUGUGUGCCUUUGUGCAACUUUUCUGCUGUUACUUCUGCUAUUUUAUAUUUACAGACUUUCACUUCUGUUUACUAAUCUUUACAGUCAAAAGCAAUGUUGUUGGGUCAAGUGACUGAUCAAGUCACAUGCACACAGUUACAGAUAUGCAAGAAUUAAAAAUUUUAAAAAAAUCCAGCUUUAAAGGGAAAGACAUGUCUGGUACUAAUAUUUCUUAUUUUUCUUUUAACAUAGAUACAAGAAAACUCUACUCUCACUAUACAACACAAUUAUGGCUUUGUUGGCUGCUUGCUCCUCCUCCCCUUUCCUCUGUGCUCCUAAUAAAACAAACUCCUGUAAAUUAAAUGGUGGUGUCUGGCCGAUUGAGU